rfam:Aedes albopictus isolate Foshan contig4361, whole genome shotgun sequence.
UGCUCUGUGGCUUAGUUGAUUGAAGCGCCGGUCUAGCGAAUACGGAGUCGUGGGUUCGAAUCCCACCCAGGGAUA